GAUGAACGCUGGCGGCGUGCCUAAUACAUGCAAGUCGAGCGAACGGACGAGAAGCUUGCUUCUCUGAUGUUAGCGGCGGACGGGUGAGUAACACGUGGAUAACCUACCUAUAAGACUGGGAUAACUUCGGGAAACCGUAGCUAAUACCGGAUAAUAUUUUGAACCGCAUGGUUCAAAAGUGAAAGACGGUCUUGCUGUCACUUAUAGAUGGAUCCGCGCUGCAUUAGCUAGUUGGUAAGGUAACGGCUUACCAAGGCAACGAUGCAUAGCCGACCUGAGAGGGUGAUCGGCCACACUGGAAAUGAGACACGGUCCAGACACCUACGGGAGGCAGCAGUAGGGAAUCUUCCGCAAUGGGCGAAAGCCUGACGGAGCAACGCCGCGUGAGUGAUGAAGGUCUUCGGAUCGUAAAACUCUGUUAUUAGGGAAGAACAUAUGUGUAAGUAACUGUGCACAUCUUGACGGUACCUAAUCAGAAAGCCACGGCUAACUACGUG
rnacentral:rRNA from 1 species